rnacentral:misc_RNA from 1 species
AUUAUCACUAAUCAAGCCCGGCUUGCUGUUGGACCUCUUGUCGGUAAAAGACAGGCCCCAAAGAUAAUGACGGUGUCAGUUGGACCCUAGAUGCAACGAGCUUUAGUUAGCACGCGUCGUAGUGGCCUUUUGACCCGGUCGUUUUGUAACCAAUUUCUAAGGUUGACCUCGGAUCAGGUAGGAAUACCCGCUGAACUUAA